AUGGCCGCAACCUGCUCGCUCCGUUCCGUCGUCCGAGCUCCGCCGCCUCCGCGGGGCCUCGCCGGGGCCAGGAGGGCGGUGCGCUGCUGCAGCAGCGCCGCUCCCACCGGCGCCUCCACAUCAAAGGUCAGCGCGCCCGCCCCUAACCACGCAUUUGGCUCUCGAUUGGGGAUCUCCUCGAUUGAUCCCUUUGCUGCUGAUCUGCUUUAUACUGGUAAUUCGUUAGAAGCUAACCCACUGGUUGUGGAUCUCGCAUUGGCUGUGCAGCUCGUCCUGGAGGUCAAGGAGAGGCUCCAAAGGGAGCAUCCGGGCCUCCCGACGGGCAGGAGCGGCAGGGAUGACGACGAGAUGAUCCUCUGGUUCUUGAAGGACAGGAAGUUCGCUGUAGAUGAAGCCGUCCCCAAACUGGCCAAGGCCAUCAAAUGGCGUCAGGAUUUCCGCGUGUCGGAAUUAUCAGAAGAAUCAGUGAAAGGAUUGUACCAAACUGGCAAAGCAUAUGUGCAUGAUUCUUUUGACAUCAACGGCAGGCCUGUGCUAGUAGUAGUGGCAGCCAAACAUUUCCCUUCUAAACAAGACUCACUUGAAAAUGAGAAGCUAUGUGCCUUUUUGGUCGAAAAGGCUUUACGUAACCUUCCCAUGGGAACAGAUAAUAUACUUGGAAUUUUCGAUCUUCGAGGCUUUGGUGUAGAAAAUGGUGAUCUCCAAUUCUUAAAGUUUUUGAUCGAUGUGUUCUACUAUUACUAUCCCAAGCGGCUUGGCGAAGUUCUAUUUGUGGAUGCACCAUUUGUGUUUCAGCCAAUGUGGCAGCUUGUUAAACCUCUGCUGAAACAAUAUGCCUCCUUGGUAAGAUUUUGUGAUGCCGAGACCGUGAGAAAAGAGUACUUCACAGAAGAAACCGUGCCUCCCGAUUUCCGCCGUUAG
rnacentral:rRNA from 1 species